AUGAACCAAAAGAUGGCGCCGUGACUGGUGUCGGGGGAGGGGUGGAAACGCCUUUUCUAUAUGGAUGGAUCCUGUUUAAUUUUUGUGCGAGACAAGGAAGUUCACUUAUUUGUUUCUACGCUUUUCUUGUAUUUUUUUUAAACACCUCUUCAAGGAGAAUCUAUGAUUCUCCUCCCCCAUCGGUUACAGGAGGCAAAAUGGCGAGUAAUAUCAGAUUUGGCGGAACUUCAGCACUUUUGUUACUUGUGUUCUUUUAAAUUUCCGUCUUUCUCGUAGGGAAAUACACAACCAUUUUAGAUGCCAACAGUUGGAACAAGGUUGAAUAUCAAAAUAGUAAAGAAAUGCAUCUAAUUACCUCAACUUUACCGAGCUCUUUGACGCCAGCAGCCCCCAUACUGGUGCUGUGGUGAUCAGCCUUUCUGGACUUUCACGGAUAGCGUUUUAAGUAAAGUAUCCGAAUCAGGUCAUUGUCGCCGACAGCCAACUACAUCUUCUCAUAUCAUCUUCUUCAUAUCACCACAAGUAACAGCGCUACAUUCGAAUUUUGUAGGUAGUACUUAUUAUUGUAAUGAUGAUAAUGACAAUAUUGGACUCAAGCUCGAAAUAGGGAAAACAAGACAACACAUAAACGAACCGGCAAACAAUGGGAGACACUGGAAAAAAAACGCAAGCGCAACAGUGACGAAUCUGAAAAGUGUACGAGCCAGAUGAAUUCAAAAACGGUGAUGAACGCAAACAAGCGCGACACAGCCAUAGCUAACAACAUUGUUAUGAAAACGCGUAUGACAUCAGUGCACCAGGAGCGCAAGUGCGUUUUAACAGGGAAAAUAAAGAUGUAGACAGCAAUAAAACUUGCAAAAUAGCAAUAACAUUUGUUGCGGAUUUAGCUUUUCGCUAAAGGGGGGUUGGCUCAGUCACAAAGGGGGUAGGGGUAUUUUUUUGUUACAAAUGGGUUUACGGGCAGCCCAAAGGGGGGUUUAAACCCCCUCCUAGAUCCGCAACUGAAAAUUAUGGACUGAGGGGACGAGCGCGACACAAAUGUGAGCGAGGAGCAGGUCAACUAAAACAAAAGAGUAGCAUGUACACUUGCGCCAA